UCCCAUUUUUGUAUCACCUAACUGUCCAGAUAAUGUGGGCAAAACAAAAUGAGAAUUUUGAAAGAAGCUUUUAUAAAACUAGUUUUUAAACAUCAAAUUGGUUAUGACAGGGUCCACCAGAAUCAAAUAGUAAUCGAAGGGGUCCAUGGAUAAAACAUGGCUGAUAACCCCUGAUUUAGAGGGAAUGUAAAUGUGGAGCUCAUCACAUCACUAUUUCGCUCAGCCUUCAUCUGAGUGAAACUGUGAUGUGAUGAGUUUCAUAUUGUUUCUUUUUCCUGGUUUCACUCACAAGGCAUGAGCGAGUCACAGGGUUUAGCUCAAGGUACCAUGGGUGCAGAGCAGAACCUGAAACCAUGGGAUUAGGGGGCAAGCUUUGUAUUCAUUAAUCUUAAAUAUUUGCGUGUAGAUUCUUUUACGUCUUUCAGUCAUUUGAUUGUGGCCAUGC